rnacentral:rRNA from 1 species
UACGAAGGGGGCGAGCGUUGUUCGGAAUCACUGGGCGUAAAGGGCGCGUAGGCGGCCUUCUAAGUCGAACGUGAAAUCCCCGGGCUCAACCCGGGAACUGCGUCCGAGACUGGAAGGCUUGAAUCCGGGAGAGGGAUGUGGAAUUCCAGGUGUAGCGGUGAAAUGCGUAGAUAUCUGGAGGAACACCGGUGGCGAAGGCGGCAUCCUGGACCGGCAUUGACGCUGAGGCGCGAAAGCCAGGGGGAGCAAACGGG